GACGAACGCUGGCGGCGUGCCUAAUACAUGCAAGUAGAACGCUGAAGGAGGAGCUUGCUUCUCUGGAUGAGUUGCGAACGGGUGAGUAACGCGUAGGUAACCUGCCUGGUAGCGGGGGAUAACUAUUGGAAACGAUAGCUAAUACCGCAUAAUAGCAGUUGUUGCAUGACAACUGUUUGAAAGGUGCAAUUGCACCACUACCAGAUGGACCUGCGUUGUAUUAGCUAGUUGGUGGGGUAACGGCUCACCAAGGCGACGAUACAUAGCCGACCUGAGAGGGUGAUCGGCCACACUGGGACUGAGACACGGCCCAGACUCCUACGGGAGGCAGCAGUAGGGAAUCUUCGGCAAUGGACGGAAGUCUGACCGAGCAACGCCGCGGGAGUGAAGAAGGGUUUCGGAUCGUAAAGCUCUGUUGUAAGAGAAGAACGAGUGUGAGAGUGGAAAGUUCACACUGUGACGGUAUCUUACCAGAAAGGGACGGCUAACUACGUG
rnacentral:rRNA from 1 species